rnacentral:misc_RNA from 1 species
GAUGAAGAACGCAGCGAACUGCGAUAAGUAAUGUGAAAUGCAGAAUUCAGUGAAUCAUCGAGUCUUUGAACGCACAUUGCGCCCCCUGGCAUUCCGGGGGGCAUGCCUGUCCGAGCGUCAUUGCUGCCCUUCAAGCCCGGCUUGUGUGUUGGGUCGUCGUCCCCCCCGGGGGACGGGCCCGAAAGGCAGCGGCGGCACCGCGUCCGGUCCUCGAGCGUAUGGGGCUUUGUCACCCGCUCGAUUAGGGCCGGCCGGGCGCCAGCCGGCGUCUCCAACCUUCUAUUUUACCAGGUUGACCUCGGAUCAGGUAGGGAUACCCGCUGAACUUAAGCAUAUUCAAUAAGCGGAGGA